rnacentral:lncRNA from 1 species
AGCAAGGAGCUGAAUGCUGGCAACGGCCGUGCGCCUGGAGAAGCAGCUGCCUCCCCGGGCGAGCCUGAGCGGAGACCACGGCCCCGGCCGGCCGGCCGCGGGGCUGCGCUCAGACUCCUGACCCAGGGCUGCCAGGAGACGACUCGCAGGCGCCGCCUCAGCCCGUUAAGUUCACUGCAGUUCGUCGCAUCCGUCACGCAGCCGCAGGCAAGAGUGCACGCACCUGACAACCCGUCUGUGGGAAACACGCACAGGCCAUCCGCCAGUGCUGCGGAAAGAAGUCAAGGCUGCCCGUCACGGGGACGGUGUGCCACGGGGACGCUCGGGACGCAGGGAGUGUUCUAAAACGCCCUCAGCCUUUGUCACCCGUGCACAGGAUCUCGUUUUACAGGUCGAGCCAUUCUGGAGACGGCCACGUCGAGACUCAUCACAACAAACCGAUGGUCUCUGGGAAGAAAACGUCCACAGCCCCUCUGCCGGCACAUCCAGCUGCCGUGGGAACAGCCGGUGGGGUUUCCUUCCGGGAGCGGGGAGCUGCCUCCCCGAGGACUCUGCAAGAGGCAGGAAACCUGGCUGUCUGGGGUGGGAGCCGUCCCCCCCGAUGCCCAGACCUGGGCGGGGAGCACUGCCGACGGCCGUUGCAGGAGCCGCCCGUGCAGGCUUCUGGUUUCACAGGUGGAGGGCCUGGAGCCCAGGACGAGCGACGGGUUCGCCUGCGAUCACACAGCUGACCGGAAGCACGACAGGGAGAUUCCAGAUCUCGGCAGCCAGGCUCCACCAAGACCCCUCCAGCCCCAGACACAGACCAAAGCAGGUGGCGCUCUGGAAAUGACGGAGCUCACACCCCCCUCAAACAGCAGGGACAGCCACCGUCCAGCAUCCCUGCCGGAUAAUCCUGCAGCUUCCACUUACAUUACCCUGGUGACAGGGUGCUCGCUACCCGAAGGCAGCGUGUUCUACUUCUUUUCAGCUGUGCUGCCCCGGAAGUGUUUUCUUUUACGGACUGAGCAGAAAUCUGUGCCCAGUCUGGUUCCCGCACGUCGCAAAGUCUCACUACGGAGGGUGGCACAGAACGAGCUGUUGUGUCCUCCACUUGAGGCCCCUGGGACUGCCUCUCCUCCCCUACUUGAGCCCCGACAUUCAGCCUCAGCCGCUCCUUCUGGGCACGGCUGCCUCCCCGGCCGCUCCCCAGCCCUCAGGGGCCCCCAGAGCUGCUGGGAGCUGGCAGGCCCAGCAACCUCCC